UGUUAGAUUUAGGCAUUCGUGGUCGUGGAUCUAUACAUUUUGCCUUUUCGGAAGUUAUUGAUUUGUGAAUUUUAGUUAAAUGUUUUUGUUUCAAAAAUUCUUGAGAAAUUUCUGUGAUUUAGGUGGCUAAUUAGGGUUUGGAGAUUAAAUAGUAUGGAAUUUACUGAUAAAUUGGCGUUUAACCAUAAAACCGAAAUUGGUAUUACAUAAGAAUGACUUCAACAAUAAAAUUUGUGAGCAGUAGUUAAGAAAUUCUGUAGAGGGUAAAGCAAGGACGGUUGUUUGCUAGUUAUUAAGCCUAAGUUUAUCAAAUAGAAGUGCAUGUGAAUAAAGGUUUUGCAUUUUCUUGCUGAAAUUACUCUUUGGUAGAAAUAGAAUUUGACAAGGUAUUGCGUUGUAUCUGUAAUAUGAUUUAUGAAAAGAUGUCAGUCGGACAAGCUUUGGUAAUACAAAUGCAUGAACUAAUACAUUCGGAAAUCCAUGACAAGAAGAGAAAAAAAAAAAAAAAAUCAAAGGAACAUAAAUAUUUGCAAAAGCUGGCGCCUUGGCCACUAAUACUGGCUGCAUUGUUCAAUAGUUCGUCCUACUUGUUCAAAGAAGCCAAAAAAUUUAAUUGUUUAAUAAUAAUAGCAAUAGAUAUAAGUACCUGUCCUUGUAAUGCUCAACUAGUCAGUUUUCAAUCAGUAAAAUUUCUUGUAAUUGUUGCAUCUUGAGUUGUGUGUGCAAUUCUAUUGUUGAUAUCGGCCUAAGGGAUUUUAGGUGUAAGAUUAAAUUUAUGAUGAUUUGGACACAUGCAUCAUAGGCAAGCAAAUAUAUUAGUAGGGAAGUUGAAGUGUUGAACAUAGGUGAUUAGAGAUGAGGAAGGGUGGGGUAUACCUACGGUUACUUUUGGAGAAUUAGUGAAAAAAGAUUUAGGGACAGUAGAUUUUUCAAAAGGCUUAAACUAAAUCAAGUGGAAUGGAGGAAAUUUAUCCAUAUCACCAGCUGGUCCAGCCCCAACUAUUUUGGAUUUAAGUCUUAACAGAGCUGUAUUGUUAUCAUCAUGGAAAUAAUCAUGAAAAUUUUGAAUUGCAUUGUAAUUAUAGAAUAAUAAUUUUGAUGGUUUAUUCUCUGAAUUCUGAAUCCACCCAAAAGGUUACUCUGUUUAACCAAGAUAGGUUGAAAUCUUGCCAUUGAUUCAUUUUCUAUCUAGUAAGUUGUAACUUCUAUUGCACUUUGAUUUAAAAAAAAAAAGGAAGUGAAAUUGGAGGAUGCAUUUGUAUUGUGAUGGGUCAAACUUGAGUGAUGAUGUGUUCAUUUAAUGAAGUUAUAGUGCUUCUAAGUCUCUUUGCCUCGUGACUUAGCUUUGAGGCUGCCCUGAAUGAAUUACCUUACAACAGCUUUGCUGGCACUUGAUAUCCUAGUGGCAGUGUAGCCACUGGGGGAAAGACCUGAAAGGGGGAAAAGUUGGCUUUGACUUGGGAAAGUGUUGGUGCUGCAUGGCCCGAUUUACCACUACUGUACUUGCUGUAACUCAUGGUAUCAAAGACCACUUUUAGCAUAGAGUAAAGAUACAUUUUUAUAAUCUAAGAUCAAAGCAACUGAUCUUCAUCUGGGAAAUCAAUUCUUGGUGUGUGAAAUGGGCCUGGUGACCGCUUUAGAAGUGCAUAAAAUAUAAAGUUCAUGGGCUUGUUUUUGUCUAAUUUUCUGCAUUAGCAGGCUGUAAUUUCUGUUGAUUCAUCUAGAAUGUGUGUGUGUGUGUUGAUUCAUGUGUAUCAGUUUAAUAGCUUUCAGGCUGGGCUUUUCUAUGUCUGUUACUUUUGCUUCUUUUUGGUGUUUGGUAGUGACAUGGUCCUGUUGCAUGUAUGCUUUUUCAAAUCACUUAAUGGUGCUAACUAGGGCCUUUGGCAUGCAUUGUUACUGUAGUUGUUGAAGAAAAACUCUCUUAAUUUUAUGAUAAAACUUUUAAGAUGUGUUUGGAAUGAUUUGGUUAUAAAAAUUCCUUUUCUGAACGCAGUUUCUAACUGCUUUUUGUAAAGCGUAUAUGAAGGUGCUUUUUUGAAAUUUAAUUUAAACAAAAUGCCAUACUCCAGAUGUGUCCAUGUAUCCACCUUAAGGACUGUUGAAGCAACUGCAUUAUUUUAUGGUGAAAAUGUCUCUAACCAAAACUUUAUAUCACAUGCAUGUGGAAACUCAUGUGGAUUCAAAUGUUGAAACAAGAAUAAAAUCAUUCCUCAACAUGUAUUUGUGAGUUAAAGUGACAUAAGCAUUCACCUUGCUUCUUAGCACUUUACAUACGUGAAAGUGUUAAAGCUGAUUUUCUCAUUUAUGCAAAUUUCUGAGGUUUAUGUAAAAAAUAUUGAUGGCAAGAUUUCUUGUAUAAUAUUCCUGUUCCAUUCAUUUGUUCAGGCUUGCUGUUAUGUUCUCCAAAGUUGGGUCUCAAAGAAGUUUAUGACUGGAUGGUAAGGAGCAUAAUUAUUACAUGAAAUUUUCUAAACAUCUUUUAAUCUUUCAAGCCUAAUAUUUUGUUGAAUUGUGAAUUUUCAGUGUUGUACUUUUCCCCAUAGCGGUGACAUUUUUUAUUACAUGGUGGCUUGUUCAGUUUGUUGAUGGUUUCUUCAGCCCAAUUUAUG
rnacentral:misc_RNA from 1 species